rnacentral:rRNA from 1 species
UAGGGAAUUUUCCGCAAUGGGCGAAACCCUGACGGAGCCACGCCGCGUGAGUGAUGAAGGUCUUCGGAUCGUAAAACUCUGUUAUUAGGGAAGAACAAAUCUGUACUUAAAUAUCCGCGUCUUGACGGUACCUAAUCAGAAAGCCACGGCUAACUACGUGCCAGCAGCCGCGGUAAUACGUAGGGUGCAAGCGUUAUCCGGAAUUACUGGGCGUAAAGCGUGCGUAGGCGGUUUUUUAAGUCUGAUUUGAAAGCCCACGGCUCAACCGGGGAAGGUCUUUUGAACCUGGACAGCUAGAGUGCAUCAGAGGUAAGUGGAAUUCCAGGUGUAGCAGUGAAAUGCGUAGAGAUAUGGAGGAACACCGGUGGCGAAGGCGACUCUCUGGUAUAUCACUGACGCUCAUGUGCGAAAGCGUGGGGAUCAAACAGG